rnacentral:sRNA from 1 species
UCCGUAGGUGAACCUGCGGUUGGAUCAUUACAAAAUUGGUAUCUUACCAAAACACCGUGUGCACCAUAACUGUUCUUGGUAGCGUAUUGGAUGGGUCACGUACCCCACAUCGGCAGUGCACGUGAGGACUUCGGUCUUUGACUGUGCGAGUCAGCUGUGGGACCUACUGGCCUUUCUCGAUCGCUGCCGCACGUCCAAACAUUGUAUUACAAAAUUAUAGUCUGAAUCAGUUCACCACAAAGUGAAAUGAAAAACAACUUUUGACAACGGAUCUCUUGGCUCUCGCAACGAUGAAGAACGCAGCGAAUUGCGAUAAGUAAUGUGAAUUGCAGAAUUCAGUGAAUCAUCAAAUCUUUGAACGCACAUUGCGCUCUCUGGUAUUCCGGAGAGCAUGCCUGUUUGAGAAUCGAUAAAACCCUCACAUGUCCCUCCCUCUUUGGAACAGUUCAAAGUUGGGAGGUGCGCCUCUGUGGAUCUGGAUCGUUUGUGGACCUCCGAGUCUACAAUGAUCUUAAAUGAAAUGUCUACAGCUCUUGUUGUCCUCAACAAAGCCCAGAGUGCAUGAAUGGAGUUUGAAAGAACUUGAUCCUCACGAUGGUGUUUUGUUCAAAGGCUCGCUUGUUGUGUACCCAACCAUUACAUUGGUGGAUGCAUCCCUGUUGGUGUGUCUUCCAAAAACUUGGUCUCAAAUCAGGUAGGAAAACCCGCUGAACUUAAGCAUAUCAAUAAGCGGAGGAAAAGAAACUAACAAGGAUUCCCCUAGUAACGGCGAGUGAAGCGGGAAUAGCUCAAAUUUGAAAUCUUACAGGUUCCCUGUACGAAUUGUAGUUUAGAGAAACGUUUUCGGGUGUUGCUUGAGCAAUAAGUCCUUUGGAAUGAGGCAUCAUAGAGGGUGAGAAUCCCGUCCUGGGCUCAAGCUAUCGCUUAUGUGAUACGUUUUCCACGAGUCGGUUUGUUUGGGAAUGCAGACCAAAAUGGGUGGUAAAUACCAUCUAAAGCUAAAUAUUGGCGAGAGACCGAUAGCGAACAAGUACCGUGAGGGAAAGAUGAAAAGAACUUUGAAAAGAGAGUUAAAUAGUACGUGAAAUUGUCAAAAGGGAAACGCUUGAAGU